GAUGUACUCCCUUCGUUCGGAAUUACUCGUCCAAGAAAUGAAUGUAUCUAGAUGUAUUUUAGUUGUAGAUACAUUCAUUUUUGUGACAAGUAAUUCCGAACGAAGGGUGUAGACU
rfam:Triticum urartu cultivar G1812 contig502808, whole genome shotgun sequence.